AGUGAACGCUGGCGGCAGGCCUAACACAUGCAAGUCGAACGGCAGCACAGAGGAGCUUGCUCCUUGGGUGGCGAGUGGCGGACGGGUGAGGAAUACAUCGGAAUCUGCCUAUUUGUGGGGGAUAACGUAGGGAAACUUACGCUAAUACCGCAUACGACCUACGGGUGAAAGCGGAGGACCUUCGGGCUUCGCGCAGAUAGAUGAGCCGAUGUCGGAUUAGCUAGUUGGCGGGGUAAAGGCCCACCAAGGCGACGAUCCGUAGCUGGUCUGAGAGGAUGAUCAGCCACACUGGAACUGAGACACGGUCCAGACUCCUACGGGAGGCAGCAGUGGGGAAUAUUGGACAAUGGGCGCAAGCCUGAUCCAGCCAUGCCGCGUGGGUGAAGAAGGCCUUCGGGUUGUAAAGCCCUUUUGUUGGGAAAGAAAAGCAGUCGGUUAAUACCCGAUUGUUCUGACGGUACCCAAAGAAUAAGCACCGGCUAACUUCGUGCCAGCCGCCGCAGUAA
rnacentral:rRNA from 1 species